rnacentral:lncRNA from 1 species
ACAGAUGGCCAAGCCCUGUGCGCGUGCACGGCCUGUUGUGUGGGGCCCGGCUGCAUUCGAUCUCAGCGCCUCACUUUGUUUCUUGGUCACAUCGCAGCUGUGGUUUGCGUACGUGUCUCCGCGGGUCCAUGUGUUAAGGUUCUGAAGGAGGCCUUAGUCCAAGUGGAUCUCGGGUCACAGGCUUGUUGGAACCGAGAGGUCUGAGGAGACCGUUUCUCUCCAGUGGUGAAAAGGGCAACCCUGGCUGGUCCUCAGGCCCUGGAGGGCACCGGGGCAGAAGCAGUUAAGAGAGCAACGCCAGAGUUUCUGGCGGCCGAGCCCUGCUGGGUUCCAGCUCUAGGUGUCUGCUGGAAAGUGCAGCUGGGAGCCAGGUGACACGCUGUGUGUGUGUUUUGCUGUUACCAGAGAAACAAGAGGGAAAAAUAAAGAACAGUUUCCACAAAAAUCCAAACGGA